GACUUAUCAAGAGUGGCGGAGGGACCGGCCCGAUGAAGCCACGACAACCUACCGGCGCGACGCCGGCAAGGUGCCAAGUCCGAGCAGGCCCUCCGCCUGCGAGAUAAGGG
rnacentral:ncRNA from 2 species